rnacentral:rRNA from 1 species
UACGUAGGGUGCGAGCGUUGUCCGGAAUUAUUGGGCGUAAAGAGCUCGUAGGCGGUUUGUCGCGUCUGCCGUGAAAGUCCGGGGCUCAACUCCGGAUCUGCGGUGGGUACGGGCAGACUAGAGUGCAGUAGGGGAGACUGGAAUUCCUGGUGUAGCGGUGAAAUGCGCAGAUAUCAGGAGGAACACCGAUGGCGAAGGCGGGUCUCUGGACAGUUCCUGACGCUGAGGCACGAAGGCCAGGGGAGCAAACGGGG